GACAGAGGGUGCUAGCGUUGUUCGGAAUUACUGGGCGUAAAGGGCGCGUAGGCGGUCUGUUAAGUCUGAUGUGAAAGCCCUGGGCUCAACCUGGGAACGGCAUUGGAAACUGGCUUACUAGAGUGCGGUAGAGGGGUGUGGAAUUCCCGGUGUAGCAGUGAAAUGCGUAGAUAUCGGGAGGAACAUCUGUGGCGAAGGCGACACCCUGGACCAGCACUGACGCUCAUGCACGAAAGCGUGGGGAGCAAACAGG
rnacentral:rRNA from 1 species